rnacentral:tRNA from 1 species
GCGAGAGUGGCGGAAUAGGUAGACGCGCACGUUUGAGGGGCGUGUGACUUUGUCAUACGGGUUCGAUUCCCGUUUCUCGCACCA